UGUUACGUUUUUCAAUAACUUUAAAACCUUUCAUAAAAAUAAACUGUAAUAAAAGGUCCCAUAACUGUAAAUCACGUAGGCAGCGACCAAUCAGAGCAGAGCGUCUUGUCUCGAGCGUGGUCGAGGCGCCAUCUUCACUUUGGAGAAAGCUUGUAUUGUGGUGUGACGCAUUUUGUAUUUUGUGAGCAUAAAAACGUAUCGAGUUGGAUCGUUGGAUAAUUUGGAUAUAGUUAAAGUGAGAUUGGUGCACCGAACUCGCUGCUCGGUCUAAACUGUUGUAUUCCUACAAUAUUACCGUGGAAUAACAAAUUAUUGUAUAAACUGAAUUAAACUACUGAUAAAACGGCAUCCAUUGUGUUUUGUGCUCGCACUUUAACCCCAUGACGCCCACUAAGCCCCCACUAAUGGCGAUAUCGACGAGGAGAGCCUUUCCCCGACAUCAGAAGUGGGAUCGGUGCAAGCACAAAACGUGAACGGACAGAUAACAGCAAAUGAUGGAUGGCGUGCGUUAUUUGAAGCACAACAAACCAGCAUGAAGCUACUCGUGGAGGCUUUGACUAAACCACCGAAUCUUGAGGAUAAAAACAUCACGCUGCCUAAGUUUCAACCGGAUGAUGCAAACACUGACGCCCGGGCCUGGCUGGCCACGGCGGACAUUUGCUUAUCGGAUCGUGAGAUACAGGGAAGUAAAUUAAUUCUCAUUCUUAGUAAGGCUAUGAAAGGGUCGGCUGCAACAUGGUUUUCUCAAAUAGUUUUUCCUAAUAUAAAAUGGGUAGAAUUUAAGGAAAUUUUUAUUUCUCGAUUUGUUACGUUAGAAACAUGUGCAGCGACGUUAUUGAAGAUGCUUACUGGUAAACCACAAGAAGGUGAAUGUCUUGCUGCAUAUGCAAGCCGUUUAUUUACCUUACUCAUGUCACGAUGGAGUAAUUUAGAAAAGGAAGAAAUGGUGGUGUCUUUAAUACUUGCACACAUGGGACAAAUUGAGCCACGGUUACAACGCAAUAUUUUUGCGGAAGAAAUAACAACCCGCUGUAAAAUGCAACGCGAACUAAUGGCUUUUUCUUAUCGCAAACGGAGCUACCAAGAGAUGACAAAGGCCGUUGCAAGCAAUACGCACGAUAACAAACUUCCUAAAUUAAGUUCUGGUUCCACAAAAUGUUACGCUUGUGGAAAGCUUGGCCAUAAAUCUAAUGAAUGUUUCAGUCGAUCGCAUGAAAAACAGCAAACAACUCCGAUCUUCGAACACCCUGACACAGCUGAGGGUAAGCGUGCCCCUGUGACUUGCUACAAGUGUGGUGUUGAAGGUCAUGUGGCAUCGCGGUGCUCAAAAACAUGGUCAGUUGCAAGUAAUAGUGCACAACCCACCGUCGCACCCAGCAUUGUGAAGCGAGUGAACGUGUGUGGUAUGAAGCCUGUCACCGGGAUAAUUACACAAUUUGGUGAGCAGUUCUCAUUUUGUUUUGAUUCUGGUGAUGACUGUUCCUUAAUUCAAGAGAGCGUCUCUCGUAAGCUUGUCGGUACAUUAUAGCACGCCAUUGCUACAUUGUGUAACAUGUAACUCACAAAUUUGGAUAGGAUGGCGAGGUGGCCAUAGGAUGGCGAGGUGGCCAUAGGAUGGCGAGGUGGCCAUAGGAUGGCGAGGUGGCCAUAGGAUGGCGAGGUGGCCAUAGGAUGGCGAGGUGGCCAUAGGAUGGCGAGGUGGCCAUAGGAUGGCGAGGUGGCCAUAGGAUGGCGAGGUGGCCAUAGGGUGGCGAGGUGGCCAUAGGAUGGCGAGGUGGCCAUAGGAUGGCGAGGUGGCCAUAGGAUGGCGAGGUGGCCAUAGGAUGGCGAGGUGGCCAUAGGAUGGCGAGGUGGCCAUAGGAUGGCGAGGUGGCCAUAGGAUGGCGAGGUGGCCAUAGGAUGGCGAGGUGGCCAUAGGAUGGCGAGGUGGCCAUAGGAUGGCGAGGUGGCCAUAGGAUGGCGAGGUGGCCAUUUUAUUGCUAUUAGUCUGUUAACGGCGAAGUGGCUGCUUAGAUACUAUGGAAUUAAUUUAGAAUGUAGCGUGGAAUCUAUUAGGAUUCAGAUCGGAAUACGAAACAGAAAUGGAGUUAUUGCAUAAAGGAUCAAAUGUAAGGAUCCUAUAAUGUCCCGGGUCAGGAGUGGCCGAGACGUACAAAAAUAGUUUCUUUUUUUGCAGAUAGCGAUGAUGCACGGCCUUCAACAUCACACGAGGACGUGUGAUAUGUCAGGACGGCCGUGUCAGAGGAAGCAAUGAGUCGAGUUGAUUCUUGUUUACAUGCUUAAUGUUUAUUAUUAUUAGUUUUACGUUGUAAUUACUUUUAUAAUUCCUAAUUCUAUUUUAUCUUGUUUGUUACGUUUUUCAAUAACUUUAAAACCUUUCAUAAAAAUAAACUGUAAUAAAAGGUCCCAUAACUGUAAAUCACGUAGGCAGCGACCAAUCAGAGCAGAGCGUCUUGUCUCGAGCGUGGUCGAGGCGCCAUCUUCACUUUGGAGAAAGCUUGUAUUGUGGUGUGACGCAUUUUGUAUUUUGUGAGCAUAAAAACGUAUCGAGUUGGAUCGUUGGAUAAUUUGGAUAUAGUUAAAGUGAGAUUGGUGCACCGAACUCGCUGCUCGGUCUAAACUGUUGUAUUCCUACAAUAUUACCGUGGAAUAACAAAUUAUUGUAUAAACUGAAUUAAACUACUGAUAAAACGGCA